UCUGGUGGCGAUAGCGAAGAGGUCACACCCGUUCCCAUACCGAACACGGAAGUUAAGCUCUUUAGCGCCAAUGGUAGUUGGGACUUUGUCCCUGUGAGAGUAGGACAUCGCUAGGC
rnacentral:rRNA from 1 species